AUUGAACGCUGGCGGCAUGCUUUAUACAUGCAAGUCGUGCGGCAGCGCGGGGGCAACUCUGGCGGCGAGCGGCGAACGGGUGAGUAAUACAUAGGAACGUAUCCUGAAAUGGGGGAUAGCUCGGCGAAAGCCGGAUUAAUACCGCAUACGCUCCACGGAGGAAAGCAGGGGAUCGCAAGACCUUGCGUUUCUGGAGCGGCCUAUGUCUGAUUAGCUAGNGGCGGGGGUAAUAGCCCACCAAGGCGACGAUCAGUAGCUGGUCUGAGAGGAUGAUCAGCCACACUGGGACUGAGACACGGCCCAGACUCCUACGGGAGGCAGCAGUAGGGAAUUUUGGACAA
rnacentral:rRNA from 1 species